rnacentral:rRNA from 1 species
GACGAACGCUGGCGGCGUGCUUAACACAUGCAAGUCGAACGGAGAAACAAGAGCUUUCUCUUCUGGACCAGUGGCGAACGGGUGAGUAACACGUGAGUAACCUGCCCCUGACUCUGGAAUAAGCGCUGGAAACGGCGUCUAAUACCGGAUACGAGACACAGCUGCAUGGCUACUGUCUGGAAAGUUCGGCGGUUGGGGAUGGACUCGCGGCGUAUCAGCUUGUUGGUGAGGUAACGGCUCACCAAGGCUACGACGGGUAGCCGGCCUGAGAGGGUGACCGGCCACACUGGGACUGAGAGACGGCCCAGACUCCUACGGGAGGCAGCAGUGGGGAAUAUUGCACAAUGGGCGAAAGCCUGAUGCAGCGACGCCGCGUGCGGGAUGACGGCCUUCGGGUUGUAAACCUCUUUCAGCGGGGACGAAGCGAGAGUGACGGUAACUGCAGAAGAAGCACCGGCUAACUACGUG